rnacentral:lncRNA from 1 species
GGGGCGCUGACUGACCUAAGGGGGGACCGCUCCAGUCAUGCUUCAAUGAUUCCCUAUAUAAUCAACCAAAUUUUUCCCACGAAAAGGGGGGGGCGGCCCCCCUGGAUCUGCCUAUGUUAAGUAAUAAAAGCUUCACAGCAAAUGAAAUGAGAUUUCCAUUACAAUUUAUAUUUCAAAGGAUCAUAACCGGUUAAAAAUAUUU